UAGCACCAUCACUGCUCACUGUAGCCUCGACCUGCUGGGCUCAAGUGAUCCUCCCAUCUCAGCCUCCUGAGUAGGGGACUACACACAGGCACCACCAUGAUCCGAUUGAGUCUCUUGCCCUAAUUGAUGCAAUUUACACUCCAUGCAUCUCCUUCCCUGGACCUUCUCCAGUUCUUGGGGACUACAGAUGAACUUACUUUUAAUGCAUUUUAUGGCAUUUGGAGGCCCUCCAGUGGACAAAUACUAUACCUGAAAAAAAUCCUUUUGCUGUGCUAAAGUGUUCAGGUGUGAAGUGUACUCAUGUUUGCAAAUCACUUUGAAAUAUAUAAACAAAAAUGAAUUAAUGGAUGAAUAGAGUGAUGCAUAGAUCAUUAGACAUGUGAUAAAAAUAACUGUUAAUUGUAGAAUCUAGAUGAUGAGUAUAUUAUAUGAUAUGGCCCACUGUAUAAUUCUUUCAACUUUUCUGUUUGAAUGUUUGAUAAUAAAAUAUUGAAUAAAAAUCUUUUUGCUAAAGA
rnacentral:lncRNA from 1 species